rnacentral:rRNA from 1 species
CCUGGCUCAGGAUGAACGCUAGCUACAGGCUUAACACAUGCAAGUCGAGGGGCAGCAUGUUGGUUGCUUGCAACCAAUGAUGGCGACCGGCGCACGGGUGAGUAACGCGUAUCCAACCUUCCCCUUAGUAGAGGAUAGCCCGGCGAAAGUCGGAUUAAUACUCUAUGUUCUUCAAUGCGGGCAUCUAAGUUGAAGCAAAGAUUUAUCGCUAAGGGAUGGGGAUGCGUCUGAUUAGGUUGCAGGCGGGGUAACGGCCCACCUGGCCUACGAUCAGUAGGGGUUCUGAGAGGAAGGUCCCCCACACUGGUACUGAGACACGGACCAGACUCCUACGGGAGGCAGCAGUGAGGAAUAUUGGUCAAUGGGCGCGAGCCUGAACCAGCCAAGUAGCGUGCAGGACGAACCUGCCCUAUGGGUUGUAAACUGCUUUUAUCAGGGAAUAAAGUGAGGCACGCGUGCCUUUUUGUAUGUACCUGAUGAAUAAGGACCGGCUAAUUCCGUGCCAGCAGCUGC